GGUAUGGUGGCUUAGUGGUUAGUAUGCUUGCCUCGUACCUCCGGGGUUGGGGGUUCAAAUCCCACCUGCACUC